UUUGAAGGCCAGGUAGAAGGGAGAUUGGAGGCCGGAGCCAUCGGUAGAUGACCUAUCGGUGGAAGAGGGGAAAAGGGUUGUAAGCGUGGGAAAGGAGAAAGGGAUGUAAGGAACGCGGCUGACCGUUCCUUACACUUUAAUAGUUCAAUUAACAGCCCACCUGUCAUUUCAUCCAACAGUUUACGGGAACAGUUAAGUGCUAACAACAGAAACCUCAACAAUUUUCAUGUCUCACCAGACAGCUCACCUAAGAGUUUACGUCAACAUUCUCAUCAACAGCAAACUAGUUUCAUUUAAAGCAAGUUGUUUUUUUUCUAUUAAGGCAUUGCUUAGACAAGGUUGUUGCAAUCGAAUAUAGCCACCAAGGAAAAGGAAAACUAUAAAAAAAACCUUUGAACGCAACUGAAUUUUACAAAGCAUAUAAAGGUAAAGUCAACUAAAAUAUUUUUAAAAGGUAUUUAUUCUUUAUUAUUUUAGUUGUACUUCGCAAGCGCCACAAGAAAAUUUACGAUGAUUCAACGGUUAAUAACUGCAUUGUAAAUUUCCUGCGUGGUUCAAAGGAUCGCAAAGGCGGAAGGAACCAAAGGCGUAAGAUUGCUGAAGAAGAAAAAAAACAAAGAAAACGAUAACAUCACAGACGAAGAAAAUGAAGACGAAGAGAAUGAAGACGAUGAAAAUGAUCUCCAAGGGACUUCGGAUGAGGACUGAAAAUUUAUAUUAGUUGAUCUGUUUUUUCAGUUUCCGUUUGUUCAUUUUUUGUUAAAAUAAGUAAAUGUUACAAAU